rnacentral:rRNA from 1 species
UACGUAGGGUGCGAGCGUUGUCCGGAAUUAUUGGGCGUAAAGAGCUUGUAGGCGGUUUGUCGCGUCUGCCGUGAAAAUCCGGGGCUCAACCCCGGACUUGCGGUGGGUACGGGCAGACUAGAGUGUGGUAGGGGAGACUGGAAUUCCUGGUGUAGCGGUGAAAUGCGCAGAUAUCAGGAGGAACACCGGUGGCGAAGGCGGAUCUCUGGGCCGUAACUGACGCUGAGGAGCGAAAGCAUGGGGAGCGAACAGG